rnacentral:rRNA from 1 species
UACGAAGGGGACUAGCGUUGUUCGGAAUCACUGGGCGUAAAGCGCACGUAGGCGGAUUUGUAAGUCAGGGGUGAAAUCCCGGGGCUCAACCUCGGAACUGCCUUUGAUACUGCGAAUCUUGAGUCCGAUAGAGGUGGGUGGAAUUCCUAGUGUAGAGGUGAAAUUCGUAGAUAUUAGGAAGAACACCAGUGGCGAAGGCGGCCCACUGGAUCGGUACUGACGCUGAAGUGCGAAAGCGUGGGGAGCAAACAGG